rnacentral:misc_RNA from 1 species
GAUGAAGAACGCAGCGAAAUGCGAAAAGUAAUGUGAAUUGCAGAAUUCAGUGAAUCAUCGAAUCUUUGAACGCACAUUGCGCCCGCUGGUACUCCGGCGGGCACGCCUGUCCGAGCGUCAUUUCAACCCUCAAGCCCUCCUUCGGGAUGGGCCUGGUGUUGGGGCUCGGCCGCCAUCUCCGGCGGCCGUCCCCUAAAUACAGUGGCGGUCACGUCGCGGCUCCUUUGCGUAGUAGAAACACCUCGCUCCGGAUAGCAACGCGGUCCACGCCGUAAAACCCCCAAUUUUCAAUGGUUGACCUCGGAUCAGGUGGGAAUACCCGCUGAACUUAAGCAUAUCAAUAAGCGGAGGA